AGUGAACGCUGGCGGUAGGCCUAACACAUGCAAGUCGAACGGCAGCACAGUAAGAGCUUGCUCUUACGGGUGGCGAGUGGCGGACGGGUGAGGAAUACAUCGGAAUCUACUUUUUCGUGGGGGAUAACGUAGGGAAACUUACGCUAAUACCGCAUACGACCUACGGGUGAAAGCAGGGGAUCUUCGGACCUUGCGCGAUUGAAUGAGCCGAUGUCGGAUUAGCUAGUUGGCGGGGUAAAGGCCCACCAAGGCGACGAUCCGUAGCUGGUCUGAGAGGAUGAUCAGCCACACUGGAACUGAGACACGGUCCAGACUCCUACGGGAGGCAGCAGUGGGGAAUAUUGGACAAUGGGCGCAAGCCUGAUCCAGCCAUACCGCGUGGGUGAAGAAGGCCUUCGGGUUGUAAAGCCCUUUUGUUGGGAAAGAAAAGCAGCAGGUUAAUACCCCGCUGUUCUGACGGUACCCAAAGAAUAAGCACCGGCUAACUGCG
rnacentral:rRNA from 1 species